GUGUUUGCUUCAACAGCACACAUACUACAAUUGGAAGGAAACAGAGAAGCAUGGGCCCCAUGCAAGGAUGAUGGUUUGACUUGUAAAAAAAAAAUGUGGAU
rnacentral:snRNA from 1 species